rnacentral:rRNA from 1 species
UAUCACAGCCAUAUCACCCUGCAGCCUAAGACCGGUUACUCACUGAAGCUAAGCAGGGCUGAGCCUGGUCAGUACCUGGAUGGGAGACCACUAAGGAACACUAGGUUGCUGUUGGAA